GAGCUAUGCUUCUGCUGCACAUAAACUGGGUCAGCAACUUGGGCGUCCUCCUCGAAGAGAUGAAGUCUAUAUAAAAACACAUACAAGAAAAAAUGGAGAGCCUUUAAGGCCAGCAACAUCAGUAAUUGAUUCCCUAAAAGAAGUUGUUGAAAUCUAUCCGGAGUUGAAGGACAAGGCAAUUCAGCAAGGUGAUGCUUUUGCUGUUGUUUGUGGAGAAAAGGAGCCAAGGGGUAGAGUCCGUUGUUUGGGUCUAGGACCAACUCCUCAAGACAUUGGUGCCCCAGGUCUGAAGGCAUACUCAUCGACAAGGCUUCAAAUACAAAUUUUGGCACGCCAAAAGGCUGAAAGUGACAAUCUAGUGCUACGACAAAGUAUCUUGGAAAUGCAACAAAGGGAGGAGCAAAUG